rnacentral:rRNA from 1 species
UACGAGGGGGGCAAGCGUUGUUCGGCAUUCUUGGGCGUAAAGGGUGCGUAGGCUGUGCGGUAAGUCACCUGUGAAAUCUCCGAGCUCAACUCGGAGCCUGCAGGCGAAACUGCCGUGCUGGAGUAUGGGAGAGGUGCGUGGAAUUCCCGGUGUAGCGGGGAAAUGCGUAGAUAUCGGGAGGAACACCUGUGGCGAAAGCGGCGCACUGGACCAUUACUGACGCUGAUGCACGAAAGCGAGGGGAGUAAACAGG